AAUCAACGCUGGCGGCGUGCCUCAGACAUGCAAGUCGAACGCGAAAGUCCCCCUCGGGGGACAAGUAGAGUGGCGCACGGGUGAGUAACACGUAGGUAAUCUACCUUCGGGUGGGGAAUAACAAUCGGAAACGGUUGCUAAUACCGCAUAAUGCAGCGGCACCUAAUGGUGACAGUUGUUAAAGCGGGGGAUCGCAAGAUCUCGCGCCUGAAGAGGAGCCUGCGGCGGAUUAGCUAGUUGGUAGGGUAAUGGCCUACCAAGGCGACGAUCCGUAGCCGGCCUGAGAGGGCGGUCGGCCACACUGACACUGACAUACGGGUCAGACUCCUACGGGAGGCAGCAGUCGGGAAUUUUGGGCAAUGGGCGAAAGCCUGACCCAGCAACGCCGCGUGAAGGAUGAAAUCCCUCGGGAUGUAAACUUCGCAAGAACGGGAAGAAUAAGUUUGUGCUAAUACCACAAGCGAUGACGGUACUGUUUGUAAGC
rnacentral:rRNA from 1 species